rnacentral:lncRNA from 1 species
UACGGUCCGGUCUUGAACGGGCCACGAGCGGGCCAAAAAGUUUGCUCGCGCCGUCCAGGCAGACUCGUGGUUGUAGUCGCGCCGUCCUGGUUCUCGUCCAGGCUGACUCGUGAUUUGUUUUGAGACAACCCUUAUUGGCGCUUGUCCAGGCAAAAUUGUCUUGGGCCUCCUUGAGCAACCUGCAGGCUGCAGCCACGGGCUCGCAGCCCAACCCAGUCAACUUGACGGAAACAAUAGAGGAAUUCAAUAUGGUCAAUUGCUCCACCUCCCCGUUUCUUCGUUUCUCACAGUUGCGGCCUUGCGGAUGAGGCGCGCUGCCGGUUGGCGGUGGCGAGCGGAGGCCGGUGGCUGGCACCCCGAGCAGCAGGCGAGCUACUCCUCCCCUCUUGCCUUCUUCCCGACUAGGUAAGAUUGCGAACUGAUUAGGUUUAAAUUUUAAGGUUAGGGCGUGGGGAAUUGUUCGUCGAGGGAUGGAUGGCGUCUGAUUUGUCUCUAUAUAAUUGAAUGUUAACACCCGGGUUUUGAACCAGUAAAUUUUAUGGUAGUUCCUAGCUUGUUGCCGCUUUUCUGAUUUGUUCUACAUAUUUUCACAUCAUUAUUUAUGUGAAUUUGUUACUUCGAAAUUUGGUGUUAUAACACGUGUUGUGUAUCCAAACAUCCAAAUUUUGAUUUCACAUUAGACACUUAGGCCAUCUCCAACGCCCGACUCUUAUGGAGGUGCUAUGAUAGAUUUCCUGAUCACUUGGCAGUUGUGUAAGGUGUUUAGCCCUUUCUUCCCGCAUGGGGCGCUUGGGCUGUUUAAUUAGCCUAUGUGUUAGCAUCUAGUGUUGGAAAGAUACAGCACUCAUAUCUUUUUAAUUUGAUAAUAUUUAUAAAUGUAACUAUUUGCAUAUUUAAAUGUAAUUUGUUGUAAGUUGAUCGUAUGAUUAUCUCGGAUGAAGAAUAAACUAUUCUGCAUCCUGGAUAAUUAAUAGAGUUUAUAUAAAGUGUUCGACUAGAAAGCCUUAGUCAGACUGAGACUUGCCCAUGCUUUAUAAAAGUUCUUGCUCCGCCACCACACCACCAUCCCACCGCCUGAUAGCAGAAAAUUGGAGGAGUUGGUGAGGGAGAGCAUCGGUGUAGUCAUGUUGCUGCACUACUAGAAUUGUAAUUAUUGUCGAGUUUGAAAGACACUCGGUAGAGCCCAUAUUAAACUCGGCGACAUUUUCACCGAGACGCACACAGCUCGACUUCCCCUGCAAUCAUUAAUACCGUCGAGUUCUUUAAACAACAAUGCUUGCCGAGUUCAUGCCAGAACAAACUCGGUGAACCACACCGUCAGAAGGGACGGGCCGUUAACGGAAGUGCCAGGUGGCCCAACUGUUUGUCAAAUUUUGGCACACAAAACUCGACAAAGUUUGGUAAAUAGAAAUGAUUCAUAUAUCAACACACAUUACCCUGUGCAAAAUAUCUGUCAAGUUUUUUAUCAAACAAAACUAGGCAAUCUGUUUGCCGAGUUCCAAACUUGGUACUUGUCCGUCCAAUAAAAGUCCACCGUGUGGCACAACGUUAUUACCUGUUGCUAUAUUUUGCCGAGUUCAUAAAUACCAAGAUUGGGCGGUAUUUUAAACUCAACAGUCUCCUAUCUAGUAAGGACCGGACACGUGGUACUGCCUUAUGACCCAGUGCCACAUUUCGCUAAGUUUGCAGCAAACGAAAUUAGGCAAACUUAUUAUUUUCCCAAUCCACAUACUUACCGAGUUUUCUAAGGUUGUAAACUUGGCAAAAUUUUGUCAUUUGCCAAGUUCCACGCUCGGCGAAUUAUGACAGCCGAGUGGAAGAUUGUACAUUUGCCGAGUUCUAAACUCGAAAAAGAGCAAACAUGAUUUUUUAAUACAAUUUUUUUUCGCAAAAUUGUGUCACAUAUGAACACCGAAAUACGUUUCAAUAAUAUAAUUUGCAAAAGUUCAAGUCACAUAAUUAACUAAUAAAAACAUACAUUACAAAUUCAGUCAACAUUCAAAGUUCAUAAACAUCAUAAAAUUAUCAGAACACUACAACCACGACAUGAGCUCAAGGGCAUGCUUCGUCAAUGCCUCUAUGAUUCGUUGGAGCUCCUGUAAUUAUUCGAGUUAGCAUUGUAGUAUUUACUUUAGGCUCAUAUUUGAAGAAUUAUGGCCAGACAUACUAAACUGUCCAGGAUAGAAGUAACACCACGAUAACAAGAAUGAUCAUCAAGAAGUAACUCUCUCUCUCUCUCUCUCUCUCUCUCUCUCUCUCUCUCUCUCUCUCUCUCUCUCUCUCUCUCUCUCUCUCUCUCUCCUAAAUCUUGGUACCCCGUCCAUGGGAUACCGCGGGUCUCCAAGCUCUCCCCGUCCCUAGUGUCUUAUUGUACUGGCUCACUUCACUACUUUGGAGGAUGGGUUUUUCCCCUUUUUGGUUCGCAAACGCUCUAACCCACCCUUUCCCUCGCCGGUGCAGUGCCAUCUGGAUACCUCAUAAAUAAAUCAAGCAGGCCGGCUAGUAAGCGAUCCCGAGGGGCUAUCUUCUCUCCCAUGCUGGUGCCUUGCUUAACUCAAGUAUAAAGUGGGAAUUAAAGCCAAAAUCCGGGGCCUCUCAAGAUUCUAGUCAUGAUAUUGCUGUGCAAACUCAUCUGAUCGCACCCCGAAGCUAUUCUCUCACCUUGUAUAUCUCCUAUUGUCCCAAUUCCUACUUCCUUUGGUUUCAGCUCCGACAUAACCUCUCUUAGUACCCCCAAUCGAAAUUCCUACGAGAUUGACGUUCGAAGAAAAAGACAUGGUUUGAUAGAAACUUUAAGUGGGUAUCAAAUAAACUGGAAUGAAUGGUAUCAAUUUCUUCUUUUCUAUACUGAAUCUGCUUCGGAUGAGAUGGCUGAAAUGAAGGUAUGUGAGGCUGUUCAUUAUGCACCCGGCACAUAGUAAGGUUUUCAACGGCAACCCCUAGACUGGGAAUGUCCACCCGGUCUUUAUAGAGCAGUCGACUAUAAGUAUAAGACUGCUGGCCUGUGAGAAGGCAGUCUCUCUCGGGAAACAUGGCCCAAUUUCUCUUCUUUCUUUUCACACGGGCAACAAUUGGGAAUAAAACUAUGAAGUUCACUCUUCUGCUGACUUGAGUCCAGAAGGGAAGCGACUGAUUUCCAAUUCUUCUUUGCUAGCGCUUGACUCCUGUGGAGCCUUUCGCUGCGCGCCUUUACUUGCUUCGGAAAUCAAACAAUGCAUUUCUUCUCAACAUAAGACAUGCUAUGAUACCCCAGGGUGGGUAGGAGCGGGUCGAGUCCGUAUCACCGCGGAACAACUGCAGCGUCCGGAUCUGAUCUAUCUACUCGGCAAUUCAUCCGGUGACUUCACGGUCGCCAAAGAAGCCCCAAGAAGCAUCAAACAUUUCCGAAGAAGAAUCCACUUGCCUAGUUUCAUAGACGAAUCGAGCCUUCUUCGGGAAUUCAGUCUCGUCUUCUUCUUCGACCUAGGUUUUGGCAAAUUCGAGCUGUUGUUUUAAUUCAGAGACCAGACGACUUCGAUACUGCUGCUUCUAUGGCCUUGACGCAGACAUAAGCGCAUUUAUAUUAUGAGUUAUUAGGCGAGGCUGCCCCUAGAACCAUCUUAUUAUUUUUAGCGUAGCAGUUGCUUAAAAUUGGAGAAAAACAGCCUGGCCAAACUACCCAUAAAAAGAAGAGAGAGAGUUGUAAGAGCGGUAAAAGCAAGCUCGGUGGCCCGGUUUCACCGUAUCAGAUCUUUCCAUUGCCCUAUGGUCACUUGCUUAAAAACUGAAAAGAGACAGACUAAAAAAGAGACUGAACUUCACUUAGGCUUUCUCGCAAGCUUAUUAGAGCAUUGAAUUGACCUCUACUAAGAGUAAGGUGAAUUUGGUAACUAUCUGGAUACCUUUAAAGGUCAAAAUUGCCUUCGCUUACCGCCUAAUCUUAAUCUAUUGCCCUGCCUCGAGGAAACUAUGGCCACACCCUUUCCUACUCUAAAGCCGCUGCCCUUAAGUGCCCGGCCCAGGAGGUAGGUCCAGUCUGCGGUGAAAUCUCGAAUACCAAAGUAGGAUAGGCCAGUGGGCAGACCAGCUAUAGAGAAUUGUUUCAAAAAGAAAAGAAGAUGACUUGAGCCAGGAAUCGAAAGAUAAAUAAAUCGGGACCGCUGACUUGCCAUUCUUUUGAAUCACUGGUUCAAUAGCAUUCCAUCCGGCGUAAGCAUCUGGAUAAUCUGGAAUACGACGCGGCGUAAGUCACGGGCCUUCUCCCUGAGCUGGGCUAUCCUGCGCUUUUGAAUCAAGUUGUUGAUGAAGGGUCGAUGUGAAGAUAAAGGCCACUGAGGGGCAAGCGGAGGAAGUGCAGAAAUCGCGUAUCCGCUAUGGGCCAAAACUAGUGUUUUUUCGGAUUUCUAGUCUAGUUUAAGUGCAGGGCUAGAGAGUUCCCAUAGCAAAAGGCUUGACCUCUAACGUUUCUUGAAUCUUUGUAUGCACGAGCUUUCGGUAGUGAUAAAGAUGCCAUAGCAGAAGCUAAGCGGUUNNNNNNNNNNNNNNNNNNNNNNNNNNNNNNNNNNNNNNNNNNNNNGCGGUUCAGCUCUGUGGUUCAAGCUGCUGUUUUCUCUUCUAGUGAGCAUGACCCUGCACUUUUCACUCAUACAUCUGACCGCGGUCGUACCUUGCUUCUUCUCUAUGUUGAUGAUAUGUUGAUCACUGGAGAUGAUCAGAAGUACAUUGCUUUUGUUAAGAAAAAGUUGAGUGAGUCAGGGAAUCGACACUCUCUUUUUUUCUUUUUCUUUUUCUUCCCCUUCGGCUUCUUAGACCCCUUAUUUUGAUUAUCUGUAAAGGUUAUAUUAUCUUUAGGGGUCAUUUAUAUAUUAGAGGUAUAAUCUUUGGGAUUCUUGUUGGUAGGUUGGGGCACCUCUUUGUUGACCAUUGGGGGUGGUGUAACUGGGUGCCCCUGCCUUACCGCUUGGCCAUGCCGCCAAAUCCGAUCCAAAAUCGAGCAAAAUCUUAUUCAUCCACAUUAUUUUACUAAUUAGUAUUCGUAGGAGGGGAUUAUUAAACCCUUUUUGAUUUUUUUUAGAUCGCCGAGCCGGUUAAGCAACAGAAGCUGUGGGCGAAAGCACACUCGUCAUUCUCAGACCUGCGGUCGAAAAACAAAUCGACAUCUCAAUCUCCGAAAGCGUUUUCCUUACCCAGCUAAUAUCCCCCCCUUCGUCGAGCCUUUCCUUUAGUGGUAAGGGAUAUGCACCUUAUCUGAACGUCGGCAGGCAUUCCGGAAUUCUCCUUUUUUGGCCCCGGGUGCAGGUCUUAUUUCAAAAAAAAAAAAGCCGCCCCGCCACUAGCUCUACUUUACAACGAUAUAUCUAGCUUUUAGUUUUGUUGAACUGCGGUUAUCUCAGGAAAUGAUUCUGGCUAGUUUUAUCGAGAGCAGAGGCGAAUAAUAGGCUUGUCACUCUGCGAAUUGAGCUAGUUCCUAUUUUGAUUUGCCAGCUACUUGUUUCAUUGCGGCACAUUUGAGCCGCGGAUCCUACUCUGGAAACAGAAAUACCCACAUGACAAGGCAAGAUAUAAUAGAAUAUGCAUCCAGCUUUAGCUGAAUAUAGUGAGUGUUCAGCGAAAAAGAAGCUAUCCCGCUAAAUCUUCCCGUGGUGAGUUGAGUCCUCGCCGAAGGUGCCGUGCCGUAUAGUACUUCUCCGGUUAUAGGUGAUAGGUGCAUGGCUUCCGCUCAUAAAGAAUGAGUGAGACCGGCGCUCAAUCAAUCAGCCACCAGUAGAGGAUAAAGGAAAAAGGGGUUCCCUAAGCAAUGCGAUUUUCCUUUACUUUGCUACUAGCUAUAUCGUUGUCUAAAUGUUGAAGAACUAUUGUGAUUUCAUUUCGACCAAGAGGUACUGGAUUCUCUUUCGGAUAGGCCCUGAAAGGAGAAGAAAGGCUGAAAUGCCAACGGACGUCUGUCUAUUCUCUAAUUCACCCGAUCCCUAUCCGCUUUCCAAAAAGGAAGAAUGCAUGAACCACGGCAGUCUUUUACUUAAGGUAUGGCUGUGAGAAAGAAACAUUUGUCCUCUUGUAAUCCAUUGCAUGUUGGAGCAAUUCUUAGGGAUGUGCACUGUGGCAUAGAACUCCUUGAUUGCUGAAGCAUAAAAAUCUUGCUUGAAUUCAGAGAAGGUCACAACUGUCAAAAAGAGGAAUCACUGCUUUGAGUUCAUCUUGCUUUCCUACAUGCUCCCAGUUCACCCACUUCUCACUUCAAAAUACCCCAGCCUAAUUUCUAGAAUAGGGCUGCGGGCAGGAGGGCUUUGUUUGUGCAAUCUUGCUCGCAACACCCUCUCCUCCGGCGAACCUGCGAUCGCCGCCUCUAACUGAAUGCUCAACUGAGGUCAUGUUUUCUCAAGUCAGUCGAUCCAACCCUGCAACCUUGUAAACAACUAUACCUCGACUUGUUGACCCAGUGAGUAACUACUAUCGUAGCGAACCUAAAGCAUUCACGCCUCAACGAAACCUAUUCCUCUGUUUCUUGGCGCCAAAGGGACUACCACUAUAUUCCAUUCCUUCCCUAAUGAUUUGAAGAUUCUAUUCCUCCGGAUGUUUACGACUUCAAUAACAGUCUCGAACUGGAAUUACGUACCUUGACUCAUAGGAAGUCAGACCGCGGUGUUAAGAAACAUACCUAUUUUAUUCAUCGCUAGAAGCCAAUCAUUACCUAAGGUUUCUUCCGCGGGUUUCAGGGUCAAAGGAACUAUUUCUAACUGUUGACUCGAGUGCGAGGCCAAAGCGAUGAAAAGACCCUUUAUUUAAUAUGGUCACGCCCAUGAGAGAAAGUCUAGCCCUAUCAACACCUUCUGAUCCUAGUUGGCUCGAGUAAGGCAGGCUACUUCUAAGCAAUCUAGAGAACAUUGAACCUCAUUGAAAAGAAAUAACUUUUCAAUUUUAUUAAAUAAUUAUUUAAUAUUUAAUAAGUAAAAAAUGGGAUCGUCCUGAGCAGGCGGGGCGUCCUGAGCAGGUGGGGGUGCCUAAACUAAACAAUUUUAUAUUAAGCGCGGCAUCCUCUCUUCGGGGUUUACGCGUCCUAGUCCGAACCAUUGGAUCGAUCCGCAAUGGGGCUCUGGGUGAAUAUUGUCCGCCCGUAUGAGCCGGGCUGUGAGGCCGCUUGGGCUUUUUUUAUUCCCAGGUGUCCGUUUUCUAAAUGCGUAUCGUGAUCCUAGUAUCGGGCUAGGAUUGGCUUCGUGCCAAUCCUCACCAUUGGUAACUGUAAUUACCAAGCCUAAUCUUUCACUGAAUACCGAGUAAAGCAAGCAAGAAAGAGGGAAGGAGCAGCUGUUUUCGAGCUAGGCUCGAUCCCUUUUUCAUCCACUUCUCGCUAUUUUUAAUUCCAAGAAACAGAGGAAUAGGUUUCGUUGAGAUCUGCAUUCCCGAAUUGAGUAAAGUACGUGUAUGACCCAGAGAAGUGAAGGUGUUUGCCAGAUCAGAUUUGACUUGGUGUUGUCUCAUCCGAAAAGUAUGCUUGUUUCAAUCUAAUCUCAAAACACGCGUUUCCUUUGAACUUGGUCCAUCGGACAGAUAUAGACAUGGAGAAGCUUUUCAAUGUCAAUCUUUCACUACUUUGUUUGGACCUUGCUUCUUCACUUAAUGCUUGCUUUCCGUCUUGCCUUUGCUGGGCCUAUGAUAGGCUGUACUCCAAUACGAAAUAAGAUUGUACAUGAAGGUGGGAUUUGACAGCAAGAAGAAAGCAAUCAUAGUACGCGGCACACACCGCUGACGAAUGAGAUUGACGUCCCAAACCAACACAGGUUCAAGACUAAGUGCAGAACCAAGAAUGCCGUGGAUAGAAAAGUGAGUGCUUCCUCAAGCAGGAAGUCGCGGAAAACGAGGCCUGAAGAGAAGUCCACCGAAUAAGGGCUUUUCUUGUGGUAUGGUUUCAAUUAGCCUUCGAGUCUUCUAUUCCGGCUAAGAAGUUUUGGUGAGUCGUUGGUAUAAGUAAUAAAGGGAGAUCAAGUCCUGGAACAAGGCUUGAUUCACUGGUCCGAGUCGAUGGCACUGGACAAUACUUGGGAGGACCUCAUCGACCUGAAGACUCGUUUUCCUUAUGCGGGACUGUCCCUCCAAUUCAGUAAAACUGGAACUGUAGGGUUUGCCAUUUGGGGACCUGCUGGCAUAAUGCAGGCUGGAACGUGGGAAUUCGAGGUCUCAUGAACGAGUUUUUUUUUCGAAAUUAAUUCAAAAGGAAUGAGUUUUUUUGAGUGACGUCUGUGACCUCGGGCCGGUCCAAAGGUAAGAAGAUCCGUUGGUUGGAAAUCCGUAUCAAUUGUUACUGGUUCUCCCGUUCUUGGUACUGUGUCAUCGCCUAUGGAAUCUAUUGGCUCGGCUGAACCGACAUGAAAUGAAAGAGAGGAAGGCGGAAGCUAUUGGCAAAUAGAGGGGGGAUGUUCUCCGUGUCUUUUAGCCCUCACUAGAUGACAACUUGGGGAGCAUGAUCUGCAAGCAAUUACUCUGGAUGCUGAUCCUGCAGAGCAGACACCUCCAGCUGUUCAAGAACUGCUACAGGAGUUUGAUGCUUUGUUCUGGGAGCCAAAGGAAUUACCCCCUCGUCGGGGCUGCCCCCUCUUCCCCUCGCUCUCCUUUCCUUAAUAUUCACCGUCGAGUCAUCAAAGCGGGAAUUCAAAUAGAUGUGUUGAAGAUCAUCAAAGAAAGGAAAAAGACUGAAUUCGAUCCAUCUCCUCCCUUUUCUUUAAACCAAGAGCUACUCCUCCCUUUUCUUUUUUUUAUGUAAUUUCAAUACGAUUUCGUUUGUGUUCAUGUUUUCAAUUUAGAACCCCACGGAAGUGAAUAGAAAAAAGAAAAAUACCCCUGUGAUACGCCUUCCUUUACCUAUUUCUAGAUUGAUUGAUGUUCAAUGGAGGGAAACUUGCGCCCCGGAUGUUCAACUUCAAGGCUAGGGCUGAGAUGCCCAGAAAAGUCUGAGUCAACAGAAUAUCCAGGGCUAUGGUCUCUAAUGGAUGGUACCUCGCUCAAUUGAAGCUUAUGGGAAAGCAGGAGUCAUUGUCAUAUCAACAGUCAAACGAAAGCACUAUUCUAAAAUAUGAAUGAAAGAAUUUGCAGGAGAUAAAUGCUAGUAUGCAGCGGGGAACAAGGGAAUACCGGACCAUAUCUGCUUUUGCGCCAUGACAAUCUCACUCGAAUUACACGGACCUACACAUAUUAGUACAGUAUACCGGGGUCCCCGGCCAGAACUCGUGGAAGCUGGGGAGUAUCCGCUUGGGACUGAUAGAAAACGGCAUAUCUUUUCCCUCCUGACCCCUAUAAAAAUCUAGUGGAAGUCCGGUCGCGUCGGAGACAUCUUUAUCUGAUUUUGAGGCUUCGUCGUCCGGCUCCUCCAAAAUAGACUGAAUGAUAUGUAUCAAAUUGAAGUUGCCUUUAGAAUCUGGGAUCAGAACAGGACAGGUAUCACUUUUCACGAUGAAAGUGCUGCGGGCACAUAGAGAUGUGGGUAGAGGAAGUCUCAAAAAGCGCGCUCUCUCUCCCUCCCUUUCGCCGCGUGCGCCGUCCCUCCAUGGACAGAGCUAAAAGUGGAGUGUUGGUCAAAGCAAGCCGCCCUAUUCUAUUACCAGACAAAAUGGAGAGAAGCUCAUCCGCUAGAAAUGCUUUAUUUCGACCAUAUCAAAUUCACUAGGGCCUCUUUCCUCUCUUUUUGUUGGCAACCCCUGUCAAUGUAUGUUUGAUUUGGGAGGCUACCAAUUCUGGAAUUUCUUCUCGAGACAUCCCCGUCAGUCGCAUAUUGAACAACCUAAGAGUGGAAACACCUUAAUCGCUUCUCCAAGCUUAUCUAUAUAUAUUUAUCGAUGGAAGCGGAAGGAAAGGCUUAAAGAAGGUGACAAGAAGAGAAACUUAUUAGUUCGUCGUAGAACGCUGGAAGAGAAAAGAAUCAGAAUUACUGAGCUACCCCGCUCUAGUGCUCUACCUCGGGCCAUCGACAUCAUACGCUCUACUGAAAUAGAUUUCGCGGAAAACCAGCUAUAUCCGAUACCACCGGGUUGAAAGAAAUCCCUUACUAUUAGGACAUAGUGUUCGGUACGACUUAAGGCUACUGGAUUGACUUUCUUUAAUGUUGGGCCUUUUUAUUGAUUUUGACGAUUGGAUCUCUCUAUGAAUGGAAAAGGGGUGCGAAGAUGCGGAUUGAAUGCAUUGAUUCUUCGAUGGAAAUCCAAGACAUGCCAAGAGAGAUUGUAGAUUGCAUCCUGAUUUCCUCCGCACAGAUGCUCUUACAAGCUUGUUCACUUUCUUUGGGCUAGAAGAUGCAUGUCUUUCUCAGCUACACCAUCUUUAUGCAUGUCUUUCUCUAAUAUGUGUAGGUCCCUGUAAUUCGAGUGAGAUUGUCAUGGCGCAAAAGCAGAUAUGGUCCGGUAUUCCCUUGUUCCCCGUAUUGGUUAUGUUCCUUAUUCCUCGUCUAGCAGAAACUAAUCGAGCUCCGUCCCAUUUUACCAUUGCUUAAGCCAUAUUACAUAAAGCAAGCUGUCCCCAAGGAUGUCCAUUCCAUUCGGCAGGGACUCCAUCUCGCAUUCGAUCUCCCUCCUUUCCCUGAAAGAGUCGAGGUCUCUCUGGACUUCUCUUUUGCCUCUCUCCCAGAUUCAGAAAAAGGGAGGAAGAGGGCCUCCUACUUGUUCACCUCUGUGUCGGUUUGGGGUACGGUGAGUUCACCGGGAGGAUCGCCCUCCCAAUUCGAAGUUUUUUCCUGGAAGUUUCAAACGAACGAGGAAGACCGAUCCUAAAUAAAUAGAGUUUCCGACGCUAGGAGGAAUUCCCCUGAAUAGCAAAGCAUCACAUCAUUGGAAAUAGCAAAGCAAGAUCGGUACCUCAGGAAUGAAUCGGUACCUUGCUUCUGUUCUGUUCUGUUCUGAUCGGUACCUUUCCUUUGGAAUCGGUACCUGGAAUUAGCGCCCCCGGAGACCGGACUCGUAGGGGGUAAGAUAAGUAGGGCCUCUACUUCCUAUGUUCUGUUGUAAAGGGGC